UUUGCGGCGUUGCUCAGCGUUACCUUGGGCGACUCAGGUUAGUCGUCGCGGGCCUGAACCUGUGUUCCGCUAGGCCGCGUGAAAAGGAGGCCCGAAUGCGAGGAGGGCGUUAAAACACAGGUGCGACCCGGUCUCCAAGCGGCCUCUUGAGAGGGGCCGGGUCCUUGAGCUCGUGCCCUUCGCGGUCGCUGGUGCCCGCGUUGGGCCGGUCCGGGAGGUGAGGUGAGGGCGCGCCUGCGGAGUGUUUUCGGCCACGGUGCCUCCCGGUUCAGACGCCUCAGGUAACGGUUGCGACUCUUUUCCGGGAGGAAGUGAAUUUCCGACGAGCCGGGGACGUUGUCCCGACCCGGUGCCCUGCGGUUCUCCCGACGCUGGCACUCCUGACCCUUGUGGCUCCACACCCAGCAUGGAACCCAGUGCAAGGCUUGAAUUCCCGACCCAAGAUGAAGACCUGACCUGAGAUCAAGCAUCAGAUGCUUAACCAGCUGAGCUACCCAAGUGCCUCUGUGUUUAUUAUUCCUUUCCUACCUCAACUCAAAUGCAUAGACCAUUUUUCAGACUUUAUUCUGUUAUGUAAGCAUUUGAAGCUUUGGCUAGUUUGUAGUUUGACAUUAUUUCAAAAUGUGUUUGUAUAUUUCCACCAUAUGUUGUAUUUUUAAUGUUUUUGUUAUUGAUUGUGACCAAGCUUCAUGGUCUUUACAGAAUUAUAUUAAUCUUUUGACACGUUUGAGAUAUGCUUUCUGUCCCUGUGUGUGGUCAGUUUGCAGAAGUGUUUCAUGCAAGCUUGAAAAGAAUGUUUGCAGCCAGCAGUGCCCUCUGUCUCUGGGUCCAGCUCAUUAAUUGUUUUGCUCAAGCCUUUGUGGUUAUUGAAUGUUCCUCUAUUCUGUUCCAGAGAGAGGUGUAUCAGAAAUGUUCUACUCUGAGGGUAGCUUUUAUAAUUCUCUUUUUAUAUUGUCUAUUUUGGUUUUCUAUUUUUUUGAAAGCUGUGUUAUAUUAGCUGCAUAUCAUUUUGGAAUUGCUGUUGCUUUUUGGUAAAUUAAUUUAAAUAUUGUAAGUAACCCUUUAUCUCUCUAAAUGCCCAUUUCAUUAAAAUCUUUUGUCAGAUUUUUAUGUAUCUUUAUCAUAUUGUUUCUCCUGUAUUUCUCAACCUGAUUUCUUAAGCAUUUUAGAUGACUUUUUAAAAACCUGUAGCUGUCAUUUAAAAACUCUGGAUUCUAAAUAAAGUUCUCAUUUUGAGAUAAAUUCAGGCA